ensembl:rRNA 5S_rRNA 5S ribosomal RNA
GAUUUCACCAAAUAUCUCUUUGAAAACUGAGCAUUGGCCAUCUGAUCUCGGAAGCUAAGCAGGGUCGGGCUUGGUUAGUACUUGGAUGGGAGACCACCUAGGAAGACCAAGUGCUGUAGGCA